rnacentral:rRNA from 1 species
UUAAGCGACUAAGCGUACACGGUGGAUGCCCUGGCAGUCAGAGGCGAUGAAGGGCGUGCUAAUCUGCGAUAAGCGCCGGUAAGGUGAUAUGAACCGUUAUAACCGGCGAUACCCGAAUGGGGAAACCCAGUGUGAUUCGUCACACUAUCAUUAACUGAAUCCAUAGGUUAAUGAGGCGAACCGGGGGAACUGAAACAUCUAAGUACCCCGAGGAAAAGAAAUCAACCGAGAUUCCCCCAGUAGCGGCGAGCGAACGGGGAGGAGCCCAGAGCCUGAAUCAGCAUGUGUGUUAGUGGAAGCGUCUGGAAAGGCGCGCGAUACAGGGUGACAGCCCCGUACACAAAAGCGCAUGUGCUGUGAGCUCGAUGAGUAGGGCGGGACACGUGGUAUCCUGUCUGAAUAUGGGGGGACCAUCCUCCAAGGCUAAAUACUCCUGACUGACCGAUAGUGAACCAGUACCGUGAGGGAAAGGCGAAAAGAACCCCGGCGAGGGGAGUGAAAAAGAACCUGAAACCGUGUACGUACAAGCAGUGGGAGCACNNNGUGACUGCGUACCUUUUGUAUAAUGGGUCAGCGACUUAUAUUCUGUAGCAAGGUUAACCGUAUAGGGGAGCCGGAGGGAAACCGAGUCUUAACCGGGCGUUAAGUUGCAGGGUAUAGACCCGAAACCCGGUGAUCUAGCCAUGGGCAGGUUGAAGGUUGGGUAACACUAACUGGAGGACCGAACCGACUAAUGUUGAAAAAUUAGCGGAUGACCUGUGGCUGGGGGUGAAAGGCCAAUCAAACCGGGAGAUAGCUGGUUCUCCCCGAAAGCUAUUUAGGUAGCGCCUCGUGAAUUCAUCUCCGGGGGUAGAGCACUGUUUCGGCUAGGGGGCCAUCCCGGCUUACCAACCCGAUGCAAACUGCGAAUACCGGAGAAUGUUAUCACGGGAGACACACGGCGGGUGCUAACGUCCGUCGUGAAGAGGGAAACAACCCAGACCGCCAGCUAAGGUCCCAAAGUCAUGGUUAAGUGGGAAACGAUGUGGGAAGGCCCAGACAGCCAGGAUGUUGGCUUAGAAGCAGCCAUCAUUUAAAGAAAGCGUAAUAGCUCACUGGUCGAGUCGGCCUGCGCGGAAGAUGUAACGGGGCUAAACCAUGCACCGAAGCUGCGGCAGCGAACGUAUCACCCAAGACAACUUUACGGAGUUGACGAUUGACGGAGCGAAGCGACGUCAAAGCGUUCAUUAAAGUCGAGUUGGCUUAGGGAUACGUUCGUUGGGUAGGGGAGCGUUCUGUAAGCCUGUGAAGGUGUGUCGUGAGGCAUGCUGGAGGUAUCAGAAGUGCGAAUGCUGACAUAAGUAACGAUAAAGCGGGUGAAAAGCCCGCUCGCCGGAAGACCAAGGGUUCCUGUCCAACGUUAAUCGGGGCAGGGUGAGUCGACCCCUAAGGCGAGGCCGAAAGGCGUAGUCGAUGGGAAACGGGUUAAUAUUCCCGUACUUGGUGUUACUGCGAAGGGGGGACGGAGAAGGCUAUGUUGGCCGGGCGACGGUUGUCCCGGUUUAAGCGUGUAGGUGUGUGUUCCAGGUAAAUCCGGUUCACUUUAACACUGAGGCGUGACGACGAGGCACUACGGUGCUGAAGCAACAAAUGCCCUGCUUCCAGGAAAAGCCUCUAAGCAUCAGGUAACACGAAAUCGUACCCCAAACCGACACAGGUGGUCAGGUAGAGAAUACCAAGGCGCUUGAGAGAACUCGGGUGAAGGAACUAGGCAAAAUGGUGCCGUAACUUCGGGAGAAGGCACGCUGACACGUAGGUGAAGUGAUUUACUCAUGGAGCUGAAGUCAGUCGAAGAUACCAGCUGGCUGCAACUGUUUAUUAAAAACACAGCACUGUGCAAACACGAAAGUGGACGUAUACGGUGUGACGCCUGCCCGGUGCCGGAAGGUUAAUUGAUGGGGUCAGCGCAAGCGAAGCUCCUGAUCGAAGCCCCGGUAAACGGCGGCCGUAACUAUAACGGUCCUAAGGUAGCGAAAUUCCUUGUCGGGUAAGUUCCGACCUGCACGAAUGGCGUAAUGAUGGCCAGGCUGUCUCCACCCGAGACUCAGUGAAAUUGAACUCGCUGUGAAGAUGCAGUGUACCCGCGGCAAGACGGAAAGACCCCGUGAACCUUUACUAUAGCUUGACACUGAACAUUGAGCCUUGAUGUGUAGGAUAGGUGGGAGGCUUUGAAGUGUGGACGCCAGUCUGCAUGGAGCCGACCUUGAAAUACCACCCUUUAAUGUUUGAUGUUCUAACGUGGACCCGUAAUCCGGGUUGCGGACAGUGUCUGGUGGGUAGUUUGACUGGGGCGGUCUCCUCCUAAAGAGUAACGGAGGAGCACGAAGGUUGGCUAAUCCUGGUCGGACAUCAGGAGGUUAGUGCAAUGGCAUAAGCCAGCUUGACUGCGAGCGUGACGGCGCGAGCAGGUGCGAAAGCAGGUCAUAGUGAUCCGGUGGUUCUGAAUGGAAGGGCCAUCGCUCAACGGAUAAAAGGUACUCCGGGGAUAACAGGCUGAUACCGCCCAAGAGUUCAUAUCGACGGCGGUGUUUGGCACCUCGAUGUCGGCUCAUCACAUCCUGGGGCUGAAGUAGGUCCCAAGGGUAUGGCUGUUCGCCAUUUAAAGUGGUACGCGAGCUGGGUUUAGAACGUCGUGAGACAGUUCGGUCCCUAUCUGCCGUGGGCGCUGGAGAACUGAGGGGGGCUGCUCCUAGUACGAGAGGACCGGAGUGGACGCAUCACUGGUGUUCGGGUUGUCAUGCCAAUGGCACUGCCCGGUAGCUAAAUGCGGAAGAGAUAAGUGCUGAAAGCAUCUAAGCACGAAACUUGCCCCGAGAUGAGUUCUCCCUGAGACUUAGAGUCUCCUGAAGGAACGUUGAAGACGACGACGUUGAUAGGCCGGGUGUGUAAGCGCAGCGAUGCGUUGAGCUAACCGGUACUAAUGAACCGUGAGGCUUAACCUU